UUGGAGGGCAAGUCUGGUGCCAGCAGCCGCGGUAAUUCCAGCUCCAAUAGCGUAUAUUAAAGUUGUUGCAGUUAAAAAGCUCGUAGUUGAAUUUCGGGGUUCUACCUUCGGUCAGGCUAUCAAGUCUGUACUUGCGUGUAGAAUUUCUACCUUCUGGGGAACCAUUAUGUUAUUAAUUUAGCGUGGUGGGAAACCAGGACCUUUACCUUGAAAAAAUUAGAGUGUUCAAAGCAGGCUUAUGUCUGAAUACAUUAGCAUGGAAUAAUAAAAUAGGACGGUGGUCCUGUUUUGUUGGUUUCUGAAUCACCGUAAUGAUUAAUAGGGAUAGUUGGGGGCAUUAGUAUUCAAUUGUCAGAGGUGAAAUUCUUGGAUUUAUUGAAGACUAACUUCUGCGAAAGCAUUUGCCAAGGAUGUUUUCAUUAAUCAAGAACGAAAGUUAGGGGAUCGAAGACGAUCAGAUACCGUCGUAGUCUUAACCAUAAACUAUGCCGACUAGGGAUCGGACGAUGUUAAAUUUUAUUGACUCGUUCGGCGCCUUACGGGAAAC
rnacentral:rRNA from 1 species